UCUUCAAAAGGGAGAGGAAAAUCCAUGUUAUUCCUUUUCGUGUGUGGUAAAUAAAUAUUUUGAUUUAACUGAGAUUCAGGUUCAGUUCUUCUAUGUGUAAUAAACAAACUGGCGUCUAACAUGAACAUUCUCCUCAAUUUGCAGUUGGACGUAUAUCCAUAAAUUAAAUUCAGUGAAAUAACAUCCGAAAAGAGUGGUUAAAAUCCUCAAACGUUUUAUGCAUAUGGAUAGCCCUUACCUUUUAUGGCCUUUCCCAUUAAAUGCUGAGAGUUAAAAAGGUAAUCGCAACGGUCAAUUUCAACGUCCUCGCUUUCUUUUUAAUUUCAACGUCCUCGCUUUUUUUUCUCAUUUUCAACGUCAAUUUCUCUCUAUCCCUCGAGGUCUCUUCUCUCCUUCCUCGAUUCUGCGGGAGGUGCAGCUGUCUAGGGGGCACCAGCAACCAGCGAUGCACCGGAGCGGAUCUCCGACAACCACUCACCAAACUAUUGUAAGAGGUCUCUCUCUCUCUCUCUCUCUCUCUCAACGCUAGAAAUCCUCUUCCUCCACCCUCUGCUUCGAGGCGGAGGGCUUUUGAAACCAGAGGAAACCCUCUGCCUCUGAAACAAUCUCAAGCGGAGGGUUUCAGAUUUCAGAGAAAACCCUUUACCUCUGAAACACUCUCAAGCGGAGGGUUUCAGAGUUCAGAGAAAACCCUCUGCCUCUGAAACACUAUCAAGUCAGAGUUCAGAGAAAACCCUCUGCCUCGAGGCAAGGGUUUCCUCUGCAAAUCCUCUGCCACGUUGCAGAGGGGUUGAAAGAGUUAAUGAGUGAAUUUUCUCAAAAUCGUUUGGUUUUCAAUAUUUGAAACCCACUUUCCAAUAAGAUUUCUCAAAUUUUUUUUGUUGCCUUCGAAAUCUUGAUUUUACAAAGUUCUAAUUUCAUGCGUAGAAGUGAUCUCUUGAGCAGUAUACCAAUCUAUGGUCGCGAGCUAUUCUUUUGUUAGGAAUCUCUAACACUGUGUCAUGUCUACAUCAAGAUAUAUCAUUAUUUACCUUUAAUAUUUCCUUGAAGAAGGGGAGAAAUUUCAAGUUCUUGCUAUAAGCUGGCUGAAAGGAAUUUUGAAAGACCUUCGAUAUGAGCAAUGAGGAGAAGUUCAAUGAAGUUGAGAAAGCUUGGGAAAGGAUAUUACGUUGACUUUGACAAUCAGACAUUUGCAAUGGUUCAACAAUGAAAUACUAUGAGAAGAAACCCUCAUAUUUUAUAAGAUUCUGACAGGAUAUCAAAAGAAAAAAGCACGUAAAGGAGGGGGGCUGGGGGAUUUCUCUACUGUCAUUGAGUUGAAGGUGAUAGAAUGAAGUUCCUUCAGACCAACCUCCAAAGUGCUUACAAAAAAAAAGAAAAAAAACAUAUGGGGUACCAAGACGGAGGAUUUCUGUACUAUCACUGAGCUGAAGGUGGUGGAAUGGCCUUCCUCGCGGGGGAUUUCUCUACUGUCACUAAGCUGAAGGUGAUGGAAUGAGGUUUCUCCAAGCAAACGUCUAAAGUGCUUCAAAAAAAAAAGGCAUCAAGAGGGGGUGAUUUUUCUCUACUGUCACUAAGUUGAAGGUGAUGGAGUGGUCUUUCCUCCAAGCAAACCUCGGAAGUGCUUAAAAAAAAGGAAGAAAAAAGAAAAAAUGGGGGUGAAAAUCUCAAGUAUCAAUUGCAGAAAUCUUUUGCACAUGGGAGAUUCCAAGUCAAUGUUUACUCCUUUUUUGUGCUUUUCUAUGAGGCUGAGAGUUUCUCCUCUGUGUUCAUAUCCUAGAGAUGUAAAGAGUUCUCUUCAAGAAGCUUGAUAGCAUUGCCUUGAGGUACAUCUUAAUACUCAUGAAAUAUUUUGGGUGAAAGAUCAUAUAUCUCCUGCACACAAGCAGUUGCACUCACAAAGCUCAAGUUGAAAUUCUUAGAGAUUCUGGCAAAUAAAGUUGUGAUCAGAUUGAUAUAUUGCUACCUGAGACUUGUCCAUUGUCUGGAACUUCUUUGACCUUCCUUCGUUUCAUGGUUUCAUGCCUAUCUAAUAACUUAGCAUGUUAUAAGUUGCUUCUGUGGGAGCUGUCAAUUACGUCUUAUGGUUGCAGGGGAAGUAUCAUUUAUGUAUUUUCCUCCCUGUUAUGUUGAUAAUAAUGCCUUUAGUGUUGUAGUUAAUGUCGUGAUAGAACUUGAGAAGAUUACGUCAUGGUUUCCUGUUCAUCUAAGAACUUAAUAACAUGUUAUAAGUUGCUUCUGUGGGAGUUGCCUCACCAUUGCAAGGUAUUUGUGUAGUUCUCUCCUUGUUAUGUUGAUAGUAAUGCCUUUAUUCUUGUAAUUAUUGUCACUGCAGAACCUGACCCUGUAUCUGGUUUGCAGUAUUUAUCAUCUGUUGGCGACACAGUUCUUGGCAUUGUUGUUGAUUGCAAAUCAGAUAUAAGCAUCGUGGAUGUUGGUUUUAUCUGAUUUGAUAGUAACAUGAACUUUUGGGUGGAUAUAAAAGGGCGAACUGUUGCCUUCCUCCCUGUACUUGCAUUUGAAGGUGGAACGAGGAGAAAUAUACCAAAGUUUGAGGGUAGCCGUAGUUUGAGCAAGAAGAGACGUAAUACUGAGUCUUCCAUUGGGAGACAAAGCUUGUUUUCUUUAGCUUUUAGGAUUCUAAGGUUAAAAGCUUCACAUUCGGUGGUUGUGUAAAUAAUCUUCUGCUCCUAGGAAAAUCUUUGUUUCCUGAAUUUGCAAAUGCAACAAGGUUUGUACAGUU